UAGGGAAUCUUCGGCAAUGGGGGGAACCCUGACCGAGCAACGCCGCGUGAGUGAAGAAGGUUUUCGGAUCGUAAAGCUCUGUUGUUAAGGAAGAACGAGUGUGAGAAUGGAAAGUUCAUACUGUGACGGUACUUAACCAGAAAGGGACGGCUACCUACGUGCCAGCAGCCGCGGUAAUACGUAGGUCCCGAGCGUUGUCCGGAUUUAUUGGGCGUAAAGCGAGCGCAGGCGGUUAGAUAAGUCUGAAGUUAAAGGCAGUGGCUCAACCAUUGUAGGCUUUGGAAACUGUUUAACUUGAGUGCAGAAGGGGAGAGUGGAAUUCCAUGUGUAGCGGUGAAAUGCGUAGAUAUAUGGAGGAACACCGGUGGCGAAAGCGGCUCUCUGGUCUGUAACGGACGCUGAGGCUCGAAAGCGUGGGGAGCGAACAGG
rnacentral:rRNA from 1 species